UUAAGUUCAGCGGGUAUCCCUACCUGAUCCGAGGCCAAAGUGAUAGAAUAACUUGCUGGGAGGAGGUCAGCUGGAGUCGCAACGCAAUGUGCUGCGCACGAAACCAACUUGCCGGCUGCCAAUAAAUUUAAGGCGAGUCCUUGCACAGAGGCAGGACAAACACCCAACACCAAGCAAAGAGCUUGAAGGUUUAAAUGACG
rnacentral:misc_RNA from 1 species